rnacentral:tRNA from 1 species
GCAGUCGUGGCCGACUGGUUAAGGCGAUAAACUAGAAAUCCAUUGUGGUCUUCCCGCACAGGUUCGAAUCCUGUCGACUGCG